ACUCCUGCGGGAGGCAGCAGUGGGGAAUUUUGGACAAUGGGGGCAACCCUGAUCCAGCAAUGCCGCGUGAGUGAAGAAGGCCUUCGGGUUGUAAAGCUCUUUUGUCAGGGAAGAAACGGUGGUGGCGAAUAACUACUACUAAUGACGGUACCUGAAGAAUAAGCACCGGCUAACUACGUGCCAGCAGCCGCGGUAAUACGUAGGGUGCAAGCGUUAAUCGGAAUUACUGGGCGUAAAGCGUGCGCAGGCGGUUGUGUAAGUCAGAUGUGAAAUCCCCGGGCUCAACCUGGGAAUUGCAUUUGAGACUGCACGGCUAGAGUGUGUCAGAGGGGGGUAGAAUUCCACGUGUAGCAGUGAAAUGCGUAGAUAUGUGGAGGAAUACCGAUGGCGAAGGCAGCCCCCUGGGAUAACACUGACGCUCAUGCGCGAAAGCGUGGGGAGCAAACAGGAUUAGAUACCCUGGUAGUCCCAUGAU
rnacentral:rRNA from 1 species